AGGCAGUGUCAUUAGCUGAUUG
rnacentral:ncRNA from 3 species